AUUGAACGCUGGCGGCAUGCCUUACACAUGCAAGUCGAACGGCAGCACGGGAGCAAUCCUGGUGGCGAGUGGCGAACGGGUGAGUAAUAUAUCGGAACGUGCCCAGUAGUGGGGGAUAGCCCGGCGAAAGCCGGAUUAAUACCGCAUACGACCUGAGGGUGAAAGCGGGGGAUCGCAAGACCUCGCGCUAUUGGAGCGGCCGAUAUCAGAUUAGCUAGUUGGUGGGGUAAAGGCCUACCAAGGCUACGAUCUGUAGUUGGUCUGAGAGGACGACCAGCCACACUGGGACUGAGACACGGCCCAGACUCCUACGGGAGGCAGCAGUGGGGAAUUUUGGACAAUGGGCGCAAGCCUGAUCCAGCAAUGCCGCGUGCAGGAAGAAGGCC
rnacentral:rRNA from 1 species